UCAAGCCAGUGAUGAUAAAAGUUAUCCCUGUCCGAACUAAAGUGUGGAGUUAUGGUAACCUGAGGCUUGA